GGUAGAGAUCCACGCGUUAAACUAGUGCAUUAAAAUGAAAAGACCAAACUCGGCGCCGCUACACGAACCGAAUUCAACCAAGCAGCGUUCCCAUCGUGUUGACCAAUGCAACUACGGGGCGUGGUUUUCGACAGAAGAGUCAAUUCAGAUUGCUGACACAGAUGGAGAUGGGAAAGGGAGGAUUAAAAAGAACACGCUAAGACUGCUCUCCAGCUUCUUCAAUCUGCAUAAGCAUUACAUUGCCUUACCAAACUAU